GUGGUCAAGCUAUUAAGGGCGCAUGGGGGAUGUCUUGGCGUCAGGAGGCUUUGAAGGGCGCGGAAGACUGCGAUAAGCCUGGGGGAACCGUCAAACAGGUGAUGAUCCCGGGAUUCCUGAACAGACAUGAACUGAAUUCAUAGGUUCAUGUGGCGAACGCGGAGAACUGAAACAUCUCAGUAUCCGCAGGAAGAGAAAGAAAAAUCGAUUUCCUCAGUAGCGGCGAGCGAAAGGGAAAUAGCCCAAACCGCGGUGGUUUCCACUGCGGGGUUGUAGGGCCCUCCACAGGAGUUAUCAAACAAUCAGUUAGCAGAAUGAUCUGGAAAGGUCGUCCACAGAGGGUGACAGGCCCGUAUGCGAAAACUAAUUGUCUCCGGAGGGUACCCUGAGUAGGUCGAGUCACGUGGAACCUCGACUGAAUCAACGGGGACCAUCCCGUAAGGCUAAAUACUACCUAACGACCGAUAGUAAACUAGUAGAGCGAUCGAAAGAUGAGAAGAACCCCUGUUAGGGGAGGAAUGUGAACCUGAAACCAUGUGCCUACAAGCGGUCGGAGCGCUAUGGCGGGUAACCGCAAUGCGUGACGGCGUGCCUUUUGCAUAAUGAUCCGGCGAGUUACCGUCAGCGGCUCGGUUAAGGUCCUCAGGACCGUAGCCACAGGGAAACCGAGUCUGAAUAGGGCGACACAUGUCGCUGGUGGUAGACGCGAAACUGCACGAACUACCCAUGAGCAGGUUGAACCGCGGGUCAAACCGCGUGGAGGACCGAACCCACUUGGGUUGAAAACCGAGGGGAUGACUUGUGGGGAGGAGUGAAAGUCUAAUCAAGCGCAGAGAUAGCUCGUUCUCUCCGAAAUAGCUUUAGGGCUAGCCUCGAGCAAUUGCAUGGUGGGGGUAGAGAGACUGAAUCGGAGGAGGGCCAUACCCUGGUACCUUCCUGAACCAAACUCCGAAUACCAUCAUGAUUAUCUCGGGAGUCAGUCCGCGAGGGAUAAGCUUCGCGGUCAAAAGGGAAACAACCCAGACCACCUGCUAAGGUCCCCAAGCAGAACUCAGUCACUAAGGAAGUCGAGUUGCAAUGACAGCCAGGAUGUUGGCUUAGAAGCAGCCAUCAUUUAAAAAGUGCGUAACAGCUUACUGGUCGAGCAACUCCGCGCCGAUAAUGAACGGGAGUAAGUUCUGCACCGAAGCAGUGGGAUUCAUUCUCUUCUUCGGAAGAGGUGGAUCGGUAGGAGAGCGCUGUACACCAGAUACAAGUCGCACCGUAAGGAGCGAUGCCGGGGUGUACAGGUGAUUAUGCCGGAAUGAGUAACGAUUAAGCAGGUGAGAAUCCUGCUCGCCGAAAGCCUAAGGUUUCCUGGGGAAGGUAAAUCCGCCCAGGGUUAGCCGGUUCCUUAGUCGAGGCCGAAGGGCGUAGACGAUGGACAGCAGGUCAACAUUCCUGCGCCACAAUGCCGGACCGAUGGAGGGACGGCGUCUGAAGGGUGAGGGGACGAUUAGAAAUGUCCCUCGCCUGUGUGAAUGGUAGCUGUUGGAAAAUCCGCAGCGACAUCCUGAAGCAUGGGACAAAGACGCUUAUGUUUCGAUAGUCAUCUGAAGGACGUCCAAGAAAAGCUUCUAAGGGUUGAUGGCAUUGUGACCGUACUAAAACUGACACAGGUAGGCGGGACGAGAAGUCCUAGGCGCUCGGGAGAACACUGGUUAAGGAACUCUGCAAAAUGGCCCCGUAAGUUCGCGAUAAGGGGUA
rnacentral:rRNA from 1 species